rnacentral:rRNA from 1 species
AGAGUUUGAUCCUGGCUCAGGAUGAACGCUGGCGCGUGCUUAACACAUGCAAGUCUAACGAUGAUCCCCAGCUUGCUGGGGGGUUAGUGGCUAAUGGCUGAGUAACACGUGAGUAACCUGCCCUUACUCUGGGAAAGCCUGGGAAACUGGGUCUAAACCGGAUAUGACUCUUCAUCGAUGUGGGGGGUGGAAAGCUUUUGUGGCUUGAUG